rnacentral:misc_RNA from 1 species
AAGUUGUAACAAGGUUUCCGUAGGUGAACCUGCGGAAGGAUCAUUACAUUUAGUAGCCUAGCUACUUGUUUAUACCCUUGUUUUUUGCGUACCUAUUGUUUCCUUGGUGGGCUUGCCUGCCGGUUAGACAACACUAUAACCUUUUUAAAUCUUUAAUCAGCGUCUAAAUUAUACAUAAUAAUUACAACUUUCAACAACGGAUCUCUUAGUUCUA